UACGUAGGGCGCAAGCGUUGUCCGGAAUUAUUGGGCGUAAAGAGCUCGUAGGCGGUUUGUCGCGUCUGCUGUGAAAACUCGAGGCUCAACCUCGGGCUUGCAGUGGGUACGGGCAGACUUGAGUACUGCAGGGGAGACUGGAAUUCCUGGUGUAGCGGUAAAAUGCGCAGAUAUCAGGAGGAACACCGGUGGCGAAGGCGGGUCUCUGGGCAGUAACUGACGCUGAGGAGCGAAAGCGUGGGGAGCGAACAGG
rnacentral:rRNA from 1 species